rnacentral:rRNA from 1 species
GACGUAGGGCGCGAGCGUUGUCCGGAUUUAUUGGGCGUAAAGAGCUCGUAGGCGGUUUGUCGCGUCGUCCGUGAAAACUCACAGCUUAACUGUGAGCUUGCAGUCGAUACGGGCAGGCUAGAGUUCGGCAGGGGAGACUGGAAUUCCUGGUGUAGCGGUGAAAUGCGCAGAUAUCAGGAGGAACACCGGUGGCGAAGGCGGGUCUCUGGGCCGAUACUGACGCUGAGGAGCGAAAGCGUGGGGAGCGAACAGG